rnacentral:rRNA from 1 species
AUUGAACGCUGGCGGCAUGCUUUACACAUGCAAGUCGAACGGUAACAGGCCUUCGGGUGCUGACGAGUUGCGAACGGGUGAGUAAUGCAUCCGAACGUACCCAGAGGUGGGGGAUAACGCAGCGAAAGCUGUGCUAAUACCGCAUGUGAUCUGAGGAUGAACGCGGGGGACCGAGCAGCAAUGUUUGGCCUCGCGCCUUUGGAGCGGCCUAUGUCGGAUUAGCUAGUUGGUGGGGUAAAGGCCUACCAAGGCCACGAUCCGUAGCUGGUCUGAGAGGACGACCAGACACACUGGGACUGAGACACGGCCCAGACUCCUACGGGAGGCAGCAGUGGGGAAUUUUGGACAAUGGGCGCAAGCCUGAUCCAGCAAUGCCGCGUGAGGGAAGAAGGCCUUCGGGUUGUAAACCGCUUUUGGCAGGAACGAAACGGUGUCCGCUAAUACCGGGCGCUAAUGACGGUACCUGCAGAAUAAGCACCGGCUAACUACGUG